rnacentral:rRNA from 1 species
UACAGAGGUCUCAAGCGUUGUUCGGAUUCAUUGGGCGUAAAGGGUGCGUAGGCGGCGCGGUAAGUCGGGUGUGAAAUCUCGGGGCUUAACUCCGAAACUGCAUUCGAUACUGCCGUGCUUGAGGACUGGAGAGGAGACUGGAAUUUACGGUGUAGCGGUGAAAUGCGUAGAUAUCGUAAGGAAGACCAGUGGCGAAGGCGGGUCUCUGGACAGUUCCUGACGCUGAGGCACGAAGCUCAGGGGAGCAAACGGG